CGGAGGGGUGCGCCGCUGGCACGUCCUGGAGAUAGGGAAGCAGGCGAAGGAGGUGCUGCGUUAAUAAGCGAAUGGCCCCAAGCCAUCAGGGUGCAUUUACGUAAGGCGGAGAACUUUAAAGAAGUUGUUUCUGGUAGAGGUAACUGCUAAGCUUUUUCUCUAUUCGGUUGGGGGGGGAAAGUGGUUACGUAUGUUUAAUGUUUGGUGAUAUUUAUGAAAGUUGGCCACUUUUUUAUCUUGGGGCUUGGGAGAAAGACGAACAAAGACGUUUAAAACGCAAAAUCCAUUUCUUUGAUGCACUCUACCAGAAAAGUGAGGAAGAAUAUGUUUCAACAAUCGGAAGCACGGGCUUAUUUGUAGCUGGGUGUUAUUGACCGGAAGAUGCAUGCCGAUUCUCUAGCAGUCAGAGCGACGCAGAGGUGUGGAACGAGGAGGGCCAGCAAUCGGAGCCUUGAUGAGGGAGCCAAUUCCUCAUCUCCAGAAUGGCAAGCUGCAAGUGACGACUAAUACGCUGCUUUACCCUUACGCCUUCUGCACUUCCUGCCAAUUGGGGCACCUCUGCGGGGAGGUACUCCAGGAUCGCAGCACUAUACUCGGGAACAGUCACGCCCACACCUGUGUCCCGGGCUGGUGGUCCUAGAUCUCGGGCGUAGAUGACUGCGGCCCACCGGAAGCUGUAGGCUGACUCCUUGCGAGCGGGAAACCGCCUUUGUCUUGGCCUUUCCGGAGUCCCAACCUCACCACAAGCAGCUUCGAAUUCUGCUGAUCCUUGCACAGGCGAGGUGCAAAACCGGCUCCUCAGACACAACGAGAUGCACGGCCUCGUCGGGGCACCGUGAUUCAACCUGCCUAAACUCACUCUCUUUAAGCCUCUUUCCGCAGCACUUCAGGCGGCUCCUGACGCAGUGUGAUGGACUCCGUCUUGUCAUGCUCUGGUGUGGUUCUGCGGGAACACGCUGCACCCUCGUUCCACGUUUCCGCACCAGUAGACCCCACUGCCUGGCCACCCCGUCUCUCCUCCUCUUUGUUUGACAAGCUCCUGUCUGUUCUUCAGGUCUCGGCUGAGACCUCCACUCUAAGAAAGCAUUUCCUGGUCACCAGCUUGGUCUGCAGGAGGUGUGGUUAUGCCCACAGCACCUUCUUCCUGCAUCAUGACAGUAUUGCAGUUGCCCCAGAUGUGAGCCUCUGGAAGGCAAGGACACACCCACCAGCAUGUUGUUCAAGCCACCGGACCCAGGACUCGAACUGCAGUCAGUCAGGCCUUAACCUCCACCCCACCUGCUGGUGCCUACUGACUGACUAUAUUUUAAGAUGCAGGCAUUUCACAUGCGGGGCUGGACUGGAACUGCCAUCGGCCAUGUGGGGUCCGGCUCCCUUCAUCAUGUGCUACGGGCCAGCCCAGCCAGUAGAUGCAGCUAUCAUUCUACUCUACAGAUGAGAACACUGAGACUUGGAGGCUUACAGAGGUUGUGUUUCAUCACAGAAAAUAAAAGGCAUGAGACAAAGGAUAGCUACACUCUCAAAUAUGGCAUUGCUUCCUCAAAUUUCAUCCCUCUUGCUCCAUGGUCUCAGGGUGGCCACCUCUGGGCCCACAGCACUGCUCUGCCCUCUGUGAGCUGGGUCAGCCAAGAGCACCGUGCUCUGUUCCUGAGAGGAACGGGCUGUUGGCGAAAUCCUGGAUCGUCUUUACACCCAGAUGACUUAGGAGUGGCCCAAGGGCCGUGGCUUGUGAGGGCCCCACCAUGGCGGCUGGCAGUGCAGGACUGGCGGGAGGGUGGGUGGUGCAGCUCUGCGGCCAGGUCCGCCUCUGCCUUUUUUGACUCCACAAAGCUGUGCCACGUGGACUGAGGUCAGCUGCAGUACUCCACACCCAGAGCUCUCCAGAGAGGGGCUCCGAAAACAGUCCAGUCCAUGUGCCUGCUUGCUUUUCAAAUGAAAAGCCCCAGUAUAGCAGCUUAAUCAUAUUAUAAACACAUUAUAAACAUAUUAAAAAGUAAUUACUUUGGAGGAAGUUAAGUAUGUUAAAAUACAAAUUAAGAUAAAAUUAGGAAUGUUUCUACUUUCAUAUUCAAGAGCACAGAAUAUCCUUUUUAAUGAUAUUUGCCUUCCCGUAGGCCAGCGCCCCAGCCCCUUAACUGCUGCGUUGUCUCCGUGAGCAUUUGUGGAGUGCCUCCUGUCGGCCAGGCACGGAGCUAGGUGCUGGCACUGAGCCAGUCUCUUACAAAGCUGAGUGAUGUAUUGACUGCGUGGGUCCCUGUGGCUGCCAUAUUUCAGCAUGGAGCAAUUAGGCAGAGAACAGUCAGUGUUUCUACCCGAGAGAAGGGAUUAAUCAUAAUUGGUUGCAUAAUUCUCAAGUCAGUCUUAUCCAGAGCUACAGCCAAAGGCAAGAUCUUGAGAGAAUCACAGUGCAGAUUUGUCCAUCAAGUGCCACUUCUCCCCUUUAAAGUAGAAGGAAGUAUAAAGAAUGGGCUGUAAAGGGUUCACGAUGGAUCAGAGGCAGACAAGCGGUCAUCUGGCAGGUACUAGAUUUUGUUGGGAGAAGAUUCAUCAGGGUGUUAGACGAGCAGAGUUUGAGGACCAAGCGGUGGUACAGUGGUAGCACAACUGGGCCCACAUGGGAAAGGUCCUGGGUUCACAUCCCAGCAACAGCCUGAGUGGACUGGGUAUGUGGGUUUGUAUGUUCUUGUGAUCCCAGAUGGCUGGGAAGGCAGAGGUAGACCAAGGCAUGAAGAUUGUUGGGGAUACCUGUCUCUCUGUCUCUCUCAAA